rnacentral:rRNA from 1 species
GACGAACGCUGGCGGCGUGCUUAACACAUGCAAGUCGAGCGGUAAGGCCCUUUCGGGGGUACACGAGCGGCGAACGGGUGAGUAACACGUGGGUGACCUGCCCUCAGCUCUGGGAUAAGCCUGGGAAACCGGGUCUAAUACCGGAUAUGACUCCAUGACGCAUGUUGUGGGGUGGAAAGCCUUGUGCGGCUGAGGAUGGGCCCGCGGCCUAUCAGCUUGUUGGUGGGGUGANGGCCUACCAAGGCGACGACGGGUAGCCGGCCUGAGAGGGCGACCGGCCACACUGGGACUGAGACACGGCCCGGACUCCUACGGGAGGCAGCAGUGGGGAAUCUUGCGCAAUGGGCGAAAGCCUGACGCAGCGACGCCGCGUGAGGGAUGACGGCCU